AUUAAUUUGGCAGAAUGAGUGCUUUAAAUUUAGAAUUUAAUAAUGUAAAAUUUUACAGUUAAUA
rnacentral:tRNA from 1 species